rnacentral:lncRNA from 1 species
UUUUUUUUUUUUUGUUUGGUGGGGUGUGUUUAUUAUGUGUUUUAAUGUAAAAUGAUGAUUUAUGUUUUAAAGUCUUUUGAAGUUGGAUAAUGUGGUCGUCUUAUGUUUAAAAUUUUAAUUAAUAAGUUAUGCGGGGAUGGGGAUACCCAUUGGUAUUUGAAACCCACGAGUAUUCGAAAUCCACGAGCUUGAGAUGUGUAUGAAUAUUGAUAUUUGGAUGAGGACGAGGAUGGGGAUGAAUUUUAUAAAUAGGUAUAGAGAUGGGUAUAGGUAUCUCGUCCGAAACCCGCCCCAUUGCCAAGUGUAGUUGUGAAAAUGAAGAACAAAUCAAGGGUAGUUUGGGGAUUUGAAAAAUAAUAGAGUGUUAGAACAACCCGCUAAUUGAAAUACCACACCCCAACCCAAGUAUUUCAAAUACCAUCAAAACCCACUAUUUCAAAUACCUCAUGCCAAAAUACUACUGAUUCUGUUUCAAAUGCCGAACGUGAUAUUUUAGCUCAAAUACCACUUCCAAAUACUCAAUCCAAACGAGGCAUAAAUUUUUAUUAUAUGCGUGUGAUUAUACAAAACCCAAAUCAAUUAGUAGUGCCCUAGCUACCGGUUAAUAUAAGUCUAAUAAAUUGAUAAAAACAUAUAAAUCUCUAACAAAGCAUAUUAAUUUGUAACUGUCCCAAAUUGAUUCCAGUGAAUAGUUCAAUACUUUAGAUGUAUACGAGGAAGGCAAGCCAAUGGAGCCCGAUCUAUUUGUAGUUGUAAUAAAUGAUCCAACACAAUUAUACAUAUUACCUCGAACAUCCCAACGGUAAAUACGUACGUAGUUGAAAAAAAUAUCGUCGGCGGCCGGCGACUAGUACUGAACUAGCUUAACCACCAGAUGUCCGGAAACGAAAUGCCAUUAAGAAUGAUGCCCUCUUCAGGGCAACUAAAUUGUAUCUCCACCGUCCAAUUUUAAGCUUCUGAAGCCCCCGCCCACCAUCACCCUCCGAUCUAAAACGGUCCCACAUCAGAACAUCAUCCACGAGCUUCUUCAAUUUCGGAAAGAUCGCAAUCAACGGCGAUUGGCUGUCCCUGUAGCUGGAUCCGAUGGGGCGAGAGAAUUCAUCCCUACCGCAUGUGGUUGCACGUGAACCCUCAUGCGGGUUGCCCCUCCCCCUAAUAAUUGGGAAUUUUUGGGGGUUAAGAGGAAACUAAUCAAUCAUGCAUGUAUUUGUGUAAUUUGUGAGUCGUGAUCGUAUAAGGCUAACACGUUAAUUAUUUGGAGUUUGGUUUAAUUUUGCUUAAGGUUAUAAUAAUAGUAUAAUUAAUCAUUCGAUUUGGAAUGAACAGUGUGUUGUUCUGUUCUGUUCUGUUCUGUUUUGUCAUCCACAAAUAAUAAUAUAUAUAACGAUGAUAAUGUGUUGUUUCAUCAAUCAUUAUGUACCUUUUUUGUUUUGAUACUUUUGGCAUGGCCAUGAAAUAAAACACCACGUCCCUCUGCAAUUUCCUGUCUCCUCUCACUCUCUCAUUUUAUCCUUCAUACUGUGUAUGUAACAAUUGUCUAUUUGUCUAGUGUUAUAAUGGAUCUUAGGGAAUGUUGUAAGCGACAACUCUCAGUGGAUAUUGUCACAUAGAAAGUGAAGACAGUCUUCCACUGAGUUAGUGCCUUCUCCCUAUCCGUUAAUUAAAUCACAGUUUUCACCUAAAAUUGAAGUUCAACGUGAACUCUAGUUUCAAUUCUCAUGUUUAGUUAUUAAAUCAUUAUUGGUGCCAACAGUUUGCGAAAAUAAUUAUAACAGUAAUUUUUUUGGCUUCCAAGGUCACUACGUGAGAUUACCGAUACAUGGUAGAGGAGUUUAACUAUACAUCAGUCCUACGUGUAUAUAAAAUAUAUGACGUGGAAGUACGGUCAACCAAAACUGAAAGUGCAAAACAAAACAAGGUUGGGAAACAAGCUAGCUAGCUAUUCAUGCUCUUUCUGCCUCUCCCCUUCUCAUCUCUCAACAUUUCGCGUCAAAUCUUUCGCAGCUAAUCUUUCCAUCCAUCUUUGCUCAACCGGCUGCGCGAUGCAAGACCUUUCGAGGACAAGCUAGGCGUGACGGGCAUUGCUGAUGGAGUCUUAGGCAUCUCUUCAUCACCACCACCAUCAUCAUCAUCCCAACCGUCUCCCCAGUUGUUGUCCCAUCCAUCAUCUGAUUGCGUCUUCUUCCCCAUACCUGAAACAGGCAAGUCCAUGUCUAGCCUUUGGUAAUUUGAGCUUGCAUUGUUGGACAGUUUCCUCCUCCUUGCUAUGGUAAUCCACAGCCCACGCGCUGAUGCUGCUACAAUUAAUAACCCAGCGAAGCAUGCUAGGAAGAGAGGGAGAUUGGAGGUUGUUGCAUAAGUGGACCCUUGAGAGUUUUCUAUGUUGUCUGAUCCGGAGUGAUGAUCGAUCAGAUCAGUUAUGUCAAGGCUGCAGCUGCUGCUGGCUCCCGUCUUUAGAACGAUGGAGCUCUCCCGUCCCUUGCCAUUGAUGGACACUUUGACCUGUGCAGUCAUGAGUCAUGACCAGCAAACAUCAUCCUUUUGCAGGGUAAUAGUAAACAAGGAAAAGCCAAAUGCAAAUUGUCUAAGCUUGUCAGGGAAAACAAAUUCAGAACUUUGCAUAAGAAUUUUGAGAAUGAACAAACAAUAAUGUUUAGGAAGUAUGGCAGCAUGCAGCUAGAAUUCUUACACUUGCAAAUCAUUUCCAGUACGAUCUAUUGAGAAAUGAGUAUCAAGAAGCAAAAGCAAGAGUUGCGUUUUUGUGCAAUCUAACAGAACAUAACAGAGAGUAACGACAUUGCUAAACAACAAGGAGAGGGCAUGGUUGAAUUCGCAAUUUACAAAUUUCUGCGCCAGGCACAUAAAAAUAUCGUUCUGAACAAUGUUCUAAGGGGGGAUAUAGUACCUUUUUGUGUUCUUUUUGCUGCAGUUGAAUGCUUUUCUUCUCCAGCUGAACAAACUCCGGACUCAAAAUCAUGACGCUGACUGGAACUUCUCCAUCGUUCUGAAUCAGAAGUAAUAGGUCUGGAGAAUCUGGGAAUCAUGAUUGAUCAACCCUCAUAAUUCAGACAUUGCAAUCUGGAAUAGUAGUAUUAGGAGAAUUUGUGCUUCUAAAUGUAGAACUAGACAAAAGAAAACUAAUCCCAAUAGGCCUACUCAUCACUAAUUUCAGUCACCAUUCAGCAUGUACAAAGUAUCUAACUCUCAGAAACUUCCAAACCAAAUGAACUCAAACAAGUUCUAGACUCUAACAGAGAAUUAAAGCAACUUGCUAAAGAAGGAAACACAUACAUACCAUUUCCAGGAACUCUAAUGCAAGCAACCAGAUUGCUGUCCUGAAUCAAGCACUUGUUGGAAGGAUCACAUUCUUCACCAUGUGAAAUCUCCUUCCCUCCUUGCUCAUUCUUUAAAUCCACCUCCUCCUGUUUAGUUGCCUUCUCAUCAUUCAGCUUCUCAUUUCCACUUUGCCUAGCAUUACCUUCACUGCCUUUACCAGUCUCCUUAUCCCCAACUUGGACGUUCAAGUCUUUCUUUUCCCCACCAUUAACAACACCACCUUUCUUUACCUCAUUCACUUGAUUCACAACUCCUUUAUCCUCCUCCUCCUUUGGGUUUUUUUCGUUUUGCCCACCAUCAUCUGUAACACCUAAUUUCAGCUCGCCAGCUUUCUCGUUUGAGCUGUUGUUAGGUUUCAACUUCGGAUCCGGAUUGUUUUUCCCAUUCACAUCCACCUGCUCAAUCCAAGCUUCAACACAGAAUCAAUUACCCACCCAAAAGAAAGAAAUUAAACAAACCAAACAUUCCAUUGAUUACCUUUGUAUCAUCAGCCCAGGACAAGCCAGCGAGGAGUAAUACAACAACAAGAAGAAGCAGAACCCGAAGAUGAGCUAGAUCGAUUUCCAUAUUUGGGAGAAGAAGCUAGUUCCUUAAAUCAGCAAAGACCACUGUUGGGUAGCAAAGUAAAACACACAAGGACCCAAUGAUUCAAAUCUUUCAGGCGGGUUUUACGAAACCAGAUGAAAAAGAGUGAGGAACUAGAAAGAACGGACCUCGGGGGAAAUCAGUACCGUUGACUGGUAGCUGUGUCGCAUGGUGAUUAGCUGUUGAAAAUACGCUGUAGAGGAGAUGAUUGAUUGAUUAUGAAAGGGUGGCGUAUUGUUCUGGGGAUUGGGACGAAGUUAGCAGAGGAGACGCAAGGUUGACCAAUGCUUACAGUCCUUUGCCUCCUCUUCCUACUUCUUCUUCUUUUUACCUUUUUUCCUAUUUUAGUAUUAUUAUUCUCUGUUUUUUACUUUCCUUUUUUAAUCCAAGCUAGUUGGAUCAUGGUUGAAACUAACAAAUGGGCUUCUGAUGGGCUUUCUUGAUAUCUGUGAGCGUUUCCGUAAAACCCAAUAAGCCUCUAAUUGACCCACCCAUUUCCAACCCUAGACACUCAUAUCCUCUUUAAUUGUAUAACCCUAUAGUGUAUAUAACAAGAAGGUACAACUUGAGGAAGUAUAUCAUGUUCUUGGAAUCAAGAAGAACCUGUUGUCUAUUAGUCAGCUCACAGUAACAAGAAAUUACGUCGUGUUCGGCUCAGAAGAUGUCAAAGUCUGUAAGGAGGUAAAAGUAGUUGGUGCACCCCUAAUGAAAGGAGUAAAGAAGAAUACCAUUGACGGGAUGUCUGUUAAGUCGGCUUUUGUAGACCAUACAAGAAGAAACGACACGGUCGACUUGUGGCACGCGCGACUUGGUCAUGUCAGCUAUCAUAAGCUGAAGGCGAUGAUGAAGAAGCAUGUUGUUAAAGGUCUUCCCCAAAUGGAGUUCCAAGAUAACAUAGUCUGUGCAGGAUAUCAAUAUGGUAAGGCACACCAACUUUCCAAUGAAGAAUCACACUAUAGAGCAAGAGAAUCUCUAGAGCUUAUUCACUCAAACGUAUUGUUAACCACUUGUCAAUCAGUGGAUGUUGUUACAUGGUUACAUUCAUUGAUGAAUACUCCGAAUACGUAUGGGUGGACUUCAUGAAGGAGAAGGGAGAAACAUUCUCAAAGUUUAAGGAAUUUAAAGAGAAGGUAGAAAGUCAGCUCGGGAGGAGGAUAAAAACAUUACACACAGAUAAUUGGGGAGAGUAUACAUCUGAUGAGUUUCAAACCUAUCUGAAGGAUAACAAGAUACGUUGACAAUUGACAUGUCCAAGAACGCCUCAACAACACGGGUCGCUGAGAGGAAGAAUAGACACCUUGCAGAAACUGUUAGGAGUAUACUACAUGCCAAAAAUGUACUUGGAAAAAUUUGGGCCGAGUACAUGAAGACAGUUGCCUACAUCAUCAACAAGCUACCUCAAGAAAAGUUAAUAUUCUUAUCACCAUUUGAAAAGCGAUGGAACGUGAAGCUCACAAUUGAUCACCUUAGAAUUUUUGGAUGAAUAUGCUACAUACUAUCCUCAAAGCCAGAGCCAGGAAGUAGUAAAUUCGACAAGAAAGCAAAGGAGUGCAUCUUUCUUGGAUAUGACAGUGAGCAGAAAGGCUGGAGGUGUUGUGAUCCAACAACCAACAUGUGUAUCGUAGACAAAGCUGGCCAUACUUAACUGGAGUUCAGCUAAAGCGAAGACGAUUAGAUAGAAUAGAACACUGAACAUUAUUUGUCAAACCAAACCGUAAAUAUCGUUAAUUGAUUGCACGAAACAAGUUCCGAGUUCGAUACGUAACAAACAAAACACAAGACCAAAAGGCACAAGUCUACCGGUACACAUUAAGAUAAGACGACCACCAACAACCAAAAAUAGAACACUAAAGCGAAAUAAAAAGUGUUUUUAACUUCCAAGCCCCGCUACCAUUCACUCUCUUUCUAGCACUUGACCUCCUUCAAAGCCUGGGGGAGGUACAGAAAU